CAGGUCCAGUACUUGCACAGUACGAUCAAUCCUGACGACAUCAGCCUCAACGGAAGCGACUUCUUCAAGAUUAACUUGUCCCUACUCGUUUCGAUGGCUGGUUCCAUUAUCACGUACACGGUCAUACUGGUCCAGACAAGCCCGGAAUACGAGGCGACGCCGACGUGCCAACCUGUCACCAUGGUUACGACCACGCCCGCUAUUACGUAGC